CAUAACUCAUACAGUGAAAAAAGCCACGGGAGUUUGUUCUUGAGGAUUGGAGCAAUAGCAUUUGGACUAGUAACAAUGAUUUACAAUGGACUAGAGUUUGGGAAGUUCUUCGAUGUCCCAGUUUCGUCCCCAUGUUACAAUGUUCUUUUGGGCGUGAAUCCUGUUUUCCAGAUGAUCUUCACCUUCUUUCAAAUGUAUUUUAUAUUUGUGAAUUGCAGGCUGAACAUCCAGAAAUUCAAGACAGUGGCUAGAUUUGGCUUAAUGCAUAUGGUUGCUACAAACCUUUGUGUAUGGCUAAGAACGCUGGGCAAAGAAACUCUUUACGAAAUUUCUGAAGAACUAAUAAAAAC